GCAUGCUGAUUAAGGUUGCUUGGUUUUUUACUAAACAUUAACUGAAUGAAAACGGGUAGUCCUUGUUCUGCUUGGGGGGCUUUAAGGAAGCAAAUGGACUUUCAGAACAGAGAUUGUCAAUAAAGGAAUGCCUGUCUGGAGCUCUGGAUGUAUCCUCUGAGAAGUUGCCCAUGAGACCAAGUGCUCUGGAGGGUAACACGGAUCCUAAGGAAAGAUUGUUGCAACUGAGUGUGGGAUGUGCUGAUCUCUGGGCUCCUGGAUGUGGAGCUGUUCAUCUCUCCUCCAGAGCUGGAUGGAGGCCCGGGCUGCCUUGCAGCACUGAGUGAUGCCAUGCCAAUUCCAGGCAAGGUCUUUAUUGCUGGAGCCAUUGUAUAAUGACAGCUUUAUUCAUGUGAAAACACAGAAUGCAUUUCAACUGUAUGAAAUGGUUUAUGUUCAUCAGAAAUGUUAUUUGUCUUCACAAAGUCUGGUUUCAAUGAACCAGCUAUGUAAUGGAUAUUAAAUAAACAUGGAAUUUUACAUGUUUAUAAU